GAUGAACGCUGGCGGCGUGCCUAAUACAUGCAAGUCGAGCGAACAGACGAGGAGCUUGCUCCUCUGACGUUAGCGGCGGACGGGUGAGUAACACGUGGAUAACCUACCUAUAAGACUGGGAUAACUUCGGGAAACCGGAGCUAAUACCGGAUAAUAUAUUGAACCGCAUGGUUCAAUAGUGAAAGACGGUUUUGCUGUCACUUAUAGAUGGAUCCGCGCCGCAUUAGCUAGUUGGUAAGGUAACGGCUUACCAAGGCAACGAUGCGUAGCCGACCUGAGAGAGUGGUCGGCAACACUGGAACUGAGACACGGUCCAGACUCCUACGGGAGGCAGCAGUAGGGAAUCUUCAGCAAUGAGCGAAAGCUUGACGGAGCAACGCCGCGUGAGUGAUGAAGGUCUUCGGAUCGUAAAACUCUGUUAUUAGGGAAGAACAAAUGUGUAAGUAACUAUGCACGUCUUGACGGUACCUAAUCAGAAAGCCACGGCUAACUACGUG
rnacentral:rRNA from 1 species